GUGGGGAAUAUUGCACAAUGGGGGAAACCCUGAUGCAGCGACGCCGCGUGAGUGAAGAAGUAUCUCGGUACGUAAAGCUCUAUCAGCAGGGAAGAAAAUGACGGUACCUGACUAAGAAGCCCCGGCUAACUACGUGCCAGCAGCCGCGGUAAUACGUAGGGGGCAAGCGUUAUCCGGAUUUACUGGGUGUAAAGGGAGCGUAGACGGCAGCACAAGUCUGGAGUGAAAUCCCGGGGCUUAACCCCGGAACUGCUUUGGAAACUGUGCGGCUGGAGUGCAGGAGGGGUAAGCGGAAUUCCUAGUGUAGCGGUGAAAUGCGUAGAUAUUAGGAGGAACACCGGUGGCGAAGGCGGCUUACUGGACUGUAACUGACGUUGAGGCUCGAAAGCGUGGGGAGCAAACAGGAUUAGAAACCCUAGUAGUCC
rnacentral:rRNA from 1 species